GGGGGCGGGGAGGAGCCGAAUAGAAACGGCAGCGCGCGGGGGAGCGGUGUGGCUGCUGGCGGCGCGGUGAGGGUUUGGGCUUCCGCGCUGCUGGGCCCGAGUGUUCGUGGUGUGCUGGAGUCUGUCCCUUCUAUGCAAAGCGUGAGCUCUUGUGUAUCCCUGGCCUGAGACGAGCAGCUGUUAGUGCAAAGCUGUACCUGGUGACUGAUGUUCCAGGGUUAGCUGUGGGUUCUCCACACCAGUAGCAGUGGGAAGUAUAUUGCAAAAAAUGCACAGGUAGUUUGCACAAGUCGAAUAAGACUAGGAGAGAUGAUCAGCAUGGAUAACCUGCCCUUUCAAGAACUUAAUGGUAUAUGUGGAAAUACAUGUUUUGCACUGCAUAAUGUUCAUGCCACUAGCUGACUGUCUAGGAAGAUCCGUCCCUAGAGAGGCCACAGAGAUGCCCUCACUAGUGUGGACUUCAGUCUCAAUAAGAAACAAUUGGGUAAAUCAUCUCUGUAUUUUGAUGGCCUGCUGAUAAAAAAGGAUUUCUGUUUUUAAGUUAUAUGAGGGCAACUAUGGAGGUCCUGAAUUCUAAAAUAAUUAAGAAUUCAUUUUUGCAAUGAAAAGAUUGGUGAGUUUGGGGAUGAGUGUUUUAUGUGUGACUGGAAGAAUCGCAGAACUGGAGAGUGGUUGAGGUUGGAAGGGACCUGUGGAGUUUGUCUGGUCCAAUCUCCUUACUCUUGCUGGGUUCCUGAAAGCACAUUACCCAGGACUCUAUACAUACUGCUUUUAAGCAUCUCCCGGGAAAGAGUCCACAGCCUUUCUAGCCUGUUCAAGUGCUGAGUUACCCUCUCAGGGAAGAAAUUCUUUGUCAUAUUCGUUUGCAACUUCCUAUCCACAAACUUUCUGUUUGUGCCCAGUGCCUCUCAUCCUGUUUUUGAACCAGGGUGACAGGUUGUGAGCAUCCUGUUGGAGCGUUAGGAAUGUCUGCUGUUGCCUAAAGCUACCUUGCACAAAGUAGAACUGUACUUUUUUUUUUUUCUUUUUUUUAAUGCUCUGCGUAAGUAUUUUUCUUCUUCCAUCUUCUGUUUCUCCUGGUUUGGCAUUUGCCUGUGGUUACAACAAGGCUUGUGUCAUAGCUCCUGUUAGUUAACUUGUGUAUUCUUGGAACAGGAACCAGCAGGAGUUUUGGCUCUUGAUGAAGCUGUUGUUUAGUCUGUGAGAACGUUGCUUUGACUCACAAUGAAAUCAGGCAGAAAUGGUUCUUUGAGGCAAUGUGUCUCAUGGGCUGUGGACACAGACAUGAGUAAACAGAAAUACAACAGUGUAGCAGGUGUUGUAAUUUGAAAUAAUCCUGUUCUGUGUCUUAAAACCUGCAACACUGUACCUCUGGAAGAUGCAAGGAAAGGAAAAUCAAACCUGUCUUGGACCACUGGUGUUUGUAUUGUUUUCUGCUGUCUUUUUCUGUCAUCCUGCUCCUUGUGUCUUUGAUUGUGGAGUGAGAUUUCAUUGUGUUCUGCAUCUAUGAUUGUUUGCCUGUCCCUAAAAAUGUAUCUAGUCAGUGCAAAUCUCUGCUCAGCAAGGAUGCUCUGGAUGUAACUUAACAUUGCUUUUGAUUGGUCAUUCUGAAGUAGCAUGUGAGCCUUUACUUCCUCCAACUGGACCUUGAAAGAAGUACUCUUAGUAUUUUUAAUAAAUGUGAUCAUGUAAGAAAGGGAAUGAGUUCUAAGCUUGUUUCUUUUUCAGGCAUCGUUGGGUCAAUCACAUGUACUUUACUCUUACGAGAUCUCAGAGUUCUUCAGUGCCACACCUCCACAGUUCUGCAACACCUUCAGGGAUGGUGACCCCACCACCUCCCUGGGCAGCCUGUACCAAUGCAUUAAUGCUCUUUCUUAGAAGAAAUUCUUCCUAAUAUCCAACCUGAACCUCCCCUAAAGAAGGCCUGCACAUCUGCCAGACUCAUACCUCAGCACUCUUCUGCCCCAUUGCUUGUGCACCAGCACCUGCUUUGCAAAUGACCCCGUAUGAAACAAGCAUCAGUAUCAGAAAAAGAUUGUUAUUUUUCUGUUUAAGUGACUGUGAAAUGACGUUUCUAGCAGAAGCUGUUUGUUGUUUUGCCAUAAUGCUAAUGAACUGAAAUCUUGUAAUUAUGAUGCUAUAUUAGGACCUACUGUCAAACUGAUCUUUAUUCCUAGAAAAAUCUUAAGAACUUAGUGCAGGUGUGUCCCACAUAGCUUGUGGGAAGAGAAAGGCACCUAGGGUUUCUUGGCAGGCAAAGAUGUGCACACUCUGUACUUGCCUGUGGAAAAUCUACAAAGUUUUCUGUUAUUUAGAUGUUUAGGAGGCUAUCUUUAUUGGCACAGUAUCGGACACUUGCCAUCGAGUGUUUUUUCUCCUUGCUAAGUUGAUGCUAGUAUAUAUUUGAUCUUUACCAAUAACUGGGGGCCCUGUGCUGCAGACUUCAUGCAGCAUGGUGGGCUUCAGGGGGAUGAAGAGAUUUUCAGUUUGCUGAGUUGGCAGUGAGACCUGAGGAGGGCAAUUCAAAGCUGAAAUGGAAUUUAUUCUUGUAAACUGGUUGUCUGGUGUUCUUGUCAGGGACAGAUUUCCCUCCCUACGUAUGGGGAGGGGCAAUGGCUUGUAUGAGUUUCAGCAGCAUGGGGAUGUCUGGGAGCUUUCAUUUGAGAUGUGCUUUCGUCAGGUUGGAAGCUCUCCUUACAGCCAGCAGUGUGCUGUGGAAGGGAAGCAAGGCAAAGAAGGGAGCAUUUCUUGAAGACAGGGUCAGUUUUAUUUGCUGUGGGUGCAGUGUGCACACAUCUCAAUUCUGCCUCCUGUUUACAGAUCUUUUGCGCUUGCUGAUGAAGGAGGUCUUAGAAAAACAGCGUUUGACUUUGGUGGCAGGAGGGUGGGAUGCGAACAUUCUUCUUCUUACUAGAAGUGAAGUGUUUGUCUCCUGCAGUGUCCCUACAGCCUCUUCUUGUCUUUUGAGCAUGCAUUUUGCCCCUUCUUUAGAAGCCCAGGUGUAAAGACAAGUUGCAGUUUGUGGUGGUUGCUUUCUUUUCCUCUUUUUUUUUUUUUUUUUCCUUUUAACUGUUGAGUAUAGAAGUGGACAUGAGAAUGCUGAGUGGGUAUGGGUAGGUAGAGGGACCCAUGUCUCCACCCAGAGUCCCUUAAAGCUUCUUGUGAUUGCCAUGAAGUCCCACUAACCCCUUCUGUUGCAAAAUGAGCACUGCUCUAAUUUUAUUGCAAGCUUGGAUUUUUCGUAAGUCCUGAGCUGGGUGUGAUCAACAUUUUGCUGCAAGAAAAGAGCUAGGUGUCAGGGGGAUUAAAUGUGUAUGGGUUGCCUUUAAGUCAUAGCUCACAGGGCUUUUCUGCCUAAUUGGUAGGGUGCUACUUGAUAUUCAGACUGCUUCUGUUUUCCAAUGAAAAAAUGAUGAGAUAAGCUUCCUCCAUAGAACUUCUAUGCAUUUCCUUAGUGUGUGUUUAUUUGGCUUUGCAGAUUGUGUGGCCUUUUCCUCUGCAGCCGUUGCAUUAUCUUGGGACCUGACAUGUCAGUUCGAGCCAAUGCAAGGCAAGUGGCUCAAUGGAUUCAUACCUGAAGAUCUGGAGUAUGAGACCUCAGAUGAGAGCCUAUUGCCUUGUGGGCCACAAAGAUGCAGUGAUGUGUGUUCAGUUUUCCCCUUCUGGCCACCUUGUAGCUGCGGGCUCCAGAGACAAAACAAUCUGCUUAUGGGUUCCAAGUGUGUUUGCAAAUCAAUGUGAGUUUCAUCCCAGUGGUACAUACAUUGCUGCAGCUGGUACAGAUAAGACUGUGAAGAUGUGGGAUGUUAGGAUGAACAGACUUCUCCUCCAUUAUCAA